UUAAUUGAAGAGUUUGAUCAUGGCUCAGAUUGAACGCUGGCGGCAGGCCUAACACAUGCAAGUCGAACGGUAACAGAGAGCAGCUUGCUGCUCUGCUGACGAGUGGCGGACGGGUG
rnacentral:rRNA from 1 species